rnacentral:misc_RNA from 1 species
GGAGGCGCUUGACAUCCCAUAUGUUGAAGAAGUGGGUCUUAGAAGUGCAUCCUCGAACUUAUGGUUCCGAGUUCCAUUUGCCAGAGAUGACACCUGGCAACAUAUAUGCCUGCGGCUAGGUAGACCUGGAAGUAUGUACUGGGAUGUGAAAAUUAAUGACCAGCACUUCCAGGACUUGUGGGAGCUUCAGAAAGGAAGCAAUAGUAC